AUUGAACGCUGGCGGCAGGCCUAACACAUGCAAGUCGAGCGGAUGAAGGGAGCUUGCUCCUGGAUUCAGCGGCGGACGGGUAAGUAAUGCCUAGGAAUCUGCCUGGUAGUGGGGGAUAACGUCCGGAAACGGGCGCUAAUACCGCAUACGUCCUGAGGGAGAAAGUGGGGGAUCUUCGGACCUCACGCUAUCAGAUGAGCCUAGGUCGGAUUAGCUAGUUGGUGGGGUAAAGGCCUACCAAGGCGACGAUCCGUAACUGGUCUGAGAGGAUGAUCAGUCACACUGGAACUGCGACACGGUCCAGACUCCUACGGGAGGCAGCAGUGGGGAAUAUUGGACAAUGGGCGAAAGCCUGAUCCAGCCAUGCCGCGUGUGUGAAGAAGGUCUUCGGAUUGUAAAGCACUUUAAGUUGGGAGGAAGGGCAGUAAGUUAAUACCUUGCUGUUUUGACGUUACCAACAGAAUAAGCACCGGCUAACUUCGUG
rnacentral:rRNA from 1 species